CUUGGUCAUUUAGAGGAAGUAAAAGUCGUAACAAGGUUUCCGUAGGUGAACCUGCGGAAGGAUCAUUAGUGAAACUUCAAAAGUCGGCUCGUCCCGUACUGUGCUGGUGGAGACACAUGUGCACGUUCGAGGCGAGUCGCAAAUCCACACACCUGUGCAUCUAUGACUCUGAGUGCCGCUUUGCAUGGCCUUGACCGGCCUGGCGCUCGAGUACUUUCACACACUCUCUCUCGAAUGUAAUGGAAUGUCUUGUUGUGCGUAACGUACAAAACGAAACAACUUUCAACAACGGAUCUCUUGGUUCUGGCAUCGAUGAAGAACGCAGCGAAAUGCGAUAAGUAAUGUGAAUUGCAGAAUUCAGUGAAUCAUCGAAUCUUUGAACGCACAUUGCGCCCGCUGGUAUUCCGGCGGGCAUGCCUGUUCGAGCGUCAUUAUGACCAAUCAAGCUCUGCUUGGCUUUGGGGCCCGCUGUACCGGCGGCCCUUAAAAUCAGUGGCGGUGCCGUCUGGCUCUAAGCGUAGUAAUACUUUUCGCUAUAGGGUUUAGUCGUUCACCCGCCAGAACCCCCCAACUUUCUUAGGUUGACCUCGGAUCAGGUAGGGAUACCCGCUGAACUUAAGCAUAUCAAUAAGCGGAGGA
rnacentral:sRNA from 1 species